GUAAUUUUCCACGCAAAUCUUCUCCAAAUCUAACUACUAAGUCAAACAAACCUCUUCUUCAACGCGAUAUUUAGACGAAUCUUAAUUCUUUCUCAUAUCGAAAACCCUUGAAUCGGGAGCUUGACUGAGAGGGAAUGAAAUGUUAUGCGCAACCAAGUGAUAUAAAUUAGUAUAUGGACUUGAAACAUGAAAGUUGGUUAUACAUACAAAAGAGUAUAAAUAAGCCAAAGUGUGAUAGCGACAUUAGCAUUGUUAGUAAAUGGAUGCUUGAGUGUUUGAAUACUUUUUCAUGAACAAGUCCUAUAGACGGACAGAAAAUAUAUUAUUUAGGGUCAAGAUGCAAGUGGGAAAAAUUUUUUUUGGCGUAAAGUAGAUCUACAUAGCGCAUUAAUUGACUUGUAAGGUGUGAUGUUUAAAAACCACGCUUUUAAUAAGGAAGCUAAUAUAGACAGAUAUAUCCAUUGAAUACAAUAAUGGUUGGGAAGUUGCCUAAAAAAAAAAAUUGUUUCCGAAUUUGAUCUGUUCGAUAAGCUGCGCUAUGUGAACAUUAUUUAUACAACAAGCAUCUAUUCUAGAUCCUCGUUAUAUCGUCUCGUUAUUCCUUUUACGAAUCAUACAACCUAGUGCAUUCGCAAACGAUGACACCGAUAAAUAGGGUAAACCGUUAAACACCGAAAUCCGAGCGUCUCAAUGUUUUGAGCAAAAAUACACAUAAAAAAGGUAUGGGAUUUUUGAUCGUGCAUUUUCUUUUUUAAGCGGCUUUUCGUGUAUGUUUAUGAGUAGCAGAAGACUGUAUAUUCGAUAUGUAUUUUGGUUGUCUACCAUACCACGUACUUACGACUUCUAACAUAAAAGUUCUUCAUUGAAUACUUUGUUUGGUUUAAACUUCUUCAUUUUGUCAAUCGCUUCGGAACUAAUGAAUAAAGCCUCGCUUUUCGGAUUAAGCUAUUUCUCCGGUUCGUUCUAACUGGCUAGUGACUACUUUCCCCCCGUAGAUCAUGGCGUUAUGAUGUCAUAUAUGCUAAUCUUUUUCAAAAAAGAAAAUAUAUAAGAAAAUGGUAAUAUGUCUUCUCCUUUAUACUAGCUUUAAAAGCAAUAAAAGAUCGUUAUUUGACUUUGCAAAAAGUUGUUUUACACUAUUACACUCACUUGGUUUUACAUGGCUAA